rnacentral:rRNA from 1 species
UGGGGAAUUUUGGACAAUGGGCGAAAGCCCGAUCCAGCAAUGCCGCGUGUGUGAAGAAGGCCUUCGGGUUGUAAAGCACUUUUGUCCGGAAAGAAAUCCUUGGCUCUAAUACAGUCGGGGGAUGACGGUACCGGAAGAAUAAGCACCGGCUAACUACGUGCCAGCAGCCGCGGUAAUACGUAGGGUGCAAGCGUUAAUCGGAAUUACUGGGCGUAAAGCGUGCGCAGGCGGUUUGCUAAGACCGAUGUGAAAUCCCCGGGCUCAACCUGGGAACUGCAUUGGUGACUGGCAGGCUAGAGUAUGGCAGAGGGGGGUAGAAUUCCACGUGUAGCAGUGAAAUGCGUAGAGAUGUGGAGGAAUACCGAUGGCGAAGGCAGCCCCCUGGGCCAAUACUGACGCUCAUGCACGAAAGCGUGGGGAGCAAACAGGAUUAGAUACCCUGGUAGUCCACGCCCUAAACGAUGUCAACUAGUUGUUGGGGAUUCAUUUCCUUAGUAACGUAGCUAACGCGUGAAGUUGACCGCCUGGGGAGUACGGUCGCAAGAUUAAAACUCAAAGGAAUUGACGGGGUCAUAGCUGUUUCCU